CGAGUCGGCCGGGCGGCCGCGAGGGUUCACGCUCUCGAGGAAAGUCCGGACUCCACAGGGCAGGGUGGUUGCUAACGGCAACCCGGGGUGACCCGCGGGACAGUGCCACAGAAAACAGACCGCCCCGGCCGCGAGGCCGGGGUAAGGGUGAAACGGUGGUGUAAGAGACCACCAGCAUCCCGGGUGACCGGGGUGGCUGGGUAAACCCCACCCGGAGCAAGGCCAAGAGGGCGCCGUGAGGUGCCUGCGCAGGCGUUCGAGGGUUGCCCGCCCGAGCCUGCGGGUAGGCCGCUCGAGCCUGUCGGCAACGGCAGGCCUAGAUGGAUGGCCGCCGCCGCGGUUUCGUGCCGCGGUACAGGAUCCGGCUUACAGGCCGGCUCGUCCG
rnacentral:RNase_P_RNA from 1 species